rnacentral:rRNA from 1 species
AAUAAUACCCAGGUAGUCCACGCCGUAAACGAUGAGUGCUAAGUGUUAGAGGGCUUCCACCCUUUAGUGCUGCAGCUAACGCAUUAAGCACUCCGCCUGGGGAGUACGGCCGCAAGGCUGAAACUCAAAGGAAUUGACGGGGGCCCGCACAAGCGGUGGAGCAUGUGGUUUAAUUCGAAGCAACGCGAAGAACCUUACCAGGUCUUGACAUCCUUCGCUACCUCUAGAGAUAGAGGGUUCCCCUUCGGGGGACGGAGUGACAGGUGGUGCAUGGUUGUCGUCAGCUCGUGUCGUGAGAUGUUGGGUUAAGUCCCGCAACGAGCGCAACCCUUGACCUUAGUUGCCAGCAUUCAGUUGGGCACUCUAAGGUGACUGCCGGUGACAAACCGGAGGAAGGUGGGGAUGACGUCAAAUCAUCAUGCCCCUUAUGACCUGGGCUACACACGUGCUACAAUGGAUGGUACAAAGGGUCGCGAAACCGCGAGGUGGAGCUAAUCCCAAAAAACCAUUCUCAGUUCGGAUUGCAGGCUGCAACUCCG